rnacentral:rRNA from 1 species
UACGUAGGGGGCAAGCGUUGUCCGGAAUUAUUGGGCGUAAAGCGCGCGCAGGCGGUUUCUUAAGUCUGAUGUGAAAGCCCACGGCUCAACCGUGGAGGGUCAUUGGAAACUGGGGAACUUGAGUGCAGGAGAGAAGAGUGGAAUUCCACGUGUAGCGGUGAAAUGCGUAGAGAUGUGGAGGAACACCAGUGGCGAAGGCGACUCUUUGGCCUGUAACUGACACUGAGGCGCGAAAGCGUGGGGAGCAAACAGG